AGCGAACGCUGGCGGCAGGCCUAACACAUGCAAGUCGAACGAACCUUUCGGGGUUAGUGGCGGACGGGUGAGUAACACGUGGGAACGUGCCUUUAGGUUCGGAAUAACUCAGGGAAACUUUUGCUAAUACCGAAUGUUCCCUUCGGGGGAAAGAUUAAUCGCCUUUAGAGCGGCCCGCGUCUGAUUAGCUAGUUGGUUGAGGUAAUGGCUCACCAAGGCGACGAUCAGUAGCUGGUCUGAGAGGAUGAUCAGCCACAUUGGGACUGAGACACGGCCCAAACUCCUACGGGAGGCAGCAGUGGGGAAUCUUGCGCAAUGGGCGAAAGCCUGACGCAGCCAUGACGCGUGAAUGAUGAAGGUCUUAGGAUUGUAAAAUUCUUUCACCGGGGACGAUAAUGACGGUACCCGGAGAAGAAGCCCCGGCUAACUUCGUG
rnacentral:rRNA from 1 species